rnacentral:lncRNA from 1 species
UUUACACACGCUUAUUUUUAAAUGUGUUGUUGACGUGAACUAAAGCUUUAUGAAUUAUAUGUGGAUUGUAGAGUGUGUAAGAGCUAAAGGGAACAGUCAAUUCAGCCUCCCUGUACUGACAUAAUAACAUGAAAUAUCUAAUCUAAGUUCUAACAUAGUUACAUUGUGUGUAAAAUGUGGAUGAUGUUCUUUAACCAUUUAAAAGGAAUAUGAUUGGAUACACAUAUAUACUUGAUACGUCAUGUAUGCAUUACUGUAUUAGUCAUAUUUAUUUAUGAAUGCGCAAAAGGAAGUUUCUUCAUUUUGGCUGUUUCUUAUCAUCAAAAUUAUUAUUACUUGUCAAGGAGAUGACACUCCACUAUCUUUAAGUUUAAAUGAACGACAUGUGAAUAUGUGGCCUAUAAAAGCAAUCUACAUCUCUCUCAAAUAUACCCAUCAAGGCUACUCAACUGGUGGCCCAUGGUGGAAAUCUGGACCUUCUUGCAUAAGACAUGAGAAAAUACUACGACCAUGUAUAGUGAUGAAAAUCGUGUGUAUUUUGGGUAUGUAAAAAAAGAGAAACUGAAAAUCAGCAUGGUAACCCUGACAAUUUAAAGAAUGUGUUGGAGGAGAGUAUCGUAGCUGUCAUGAAGUUUCCUUAGAUCAGCUACAAUCAGCUGUCAAAGUGAAAAGGUAGAGAAGGAAAUAAACAAAGACAUUAGCAAGAAUUACUCCGAUGUCGAUGUUCUAUUCUACUCUGAGUCCAUGAAGGACCUACAAUUAUAAGUCCUCAACAAAUCCUCAAGGUAUUUUAUGAGCACACACGAAUGUUCAAUCAGGUUUUCAAUAUAAUUGAAUAUAGUAGCAAAGGAAGUUAACAUCUCAGAAGUUGACACCAGCUUAGGAAAAGAAAAUUCAUUCUUCAUAUUACCAAUUCCAAAAAAAAAAUGGACAACAUAAAAAAUAUACACGAUUUACAUCACUAACCAUGUAUCUCCUCAAGCUAACAGGCCUGUUUUGUUAGUUUUUUUUUGUUUUUUUAAGGUUUAGGUGUUAUAUGAUUGCUUAUAAGUAAAGAUUUGAUUUUGUAGAGAAAAAGUUUAUGGAUUAA